rnacentral:rRNA from 1 species
GAUGAACGCUGGCGGCGUGCCUAAUACAUGCAAGUCGAGCGAACGGACGAGAAGCUUGCUUCUCUGAUGUUAGCGGCGGACGGGUGAGUAACACGUGGAUAACCUACCUAUAAGACUGGGAUAACUUCGGGAAACCGUAGCUAAUACCGGAUAAUAUUUUGAACCGCAUGGUUAAAAAGUGAAAGACGGUCUUGCUGUCACUUAUAGAUGGAUCCGCGCUGCAUUAGCUAGUUGGUAAGGUAACGGCUUACCAAGGCACCGAUGCAUAGCCGACCUGAGAGGGUGAUCGGCCACACUGGAACUGAGACACGGUCCAGACUCCUACGGGAGGCAGCAGUAGGGAAUCUUCCGCAAUGGGCGAAAGCCUGACGGAGCAACGCCGCGUGAGUGAUGAAGGUCUUCGGAUCGUAAAACUCUGUUAUUAGGGAAGAACAUAUGUGUAAGUAACUGUGCACAUCUUGACGGUACCUAAUCAGAAAGCCACGGCUAACUACGUG